UGGGCCGGGGGGCGAGGCUCGACCCCUCCUUACCGAACGAUAUUUGAAUGUGCAGUGUCCACACAGAUUGUCUGAUGAAAAAUAAAGAGAAUGAAAACCCUUUCGUGGCUUGGAGGUCCGGUUGAUGAAUCGCCCCCCCGUCUACGGCGAGGGUGGGCGGUCAAAUUCCCUCCUUUCCACCGAAUUCGCCCAUCUGUGGUUUGCUAAUCAAUUUCCGUGUCCCCAUCAAACAUCGGCCUAGCACGCUGUGCUUGAACGGGAGUUGCCUCGGUUUGAAUCCCCUUGGUUGCACCAUUGAGUGGAGCUAUAGAUGACAUGGGCAUCGAUCUUCUUAAAUAUGACGCUAGCCAGGCAUGUUUAAGAUAAAGCUCUUCAACAUUCUGGACCACUCUAUAAAAUGCCAGAAUGAAUAGUCGAAAGAAUAUUCACGAGUAUUUUGCUCUUUAACAAUCUAUGACGGAAACAACUUUGGAAUGAGAAGUAAACUGAAUAUUAUUACCCAGUCUAUACCAUGCCAACAGCCCAUGAUGGAAACAUCUUCAGGUUGUGAGGUUAAGUGACUAAGCGUACACGGUGGUGCCUUGGCAGGUG
rnacentral:misc_RNA from 1 species